rnacentral:rRNA from 1 species
CUCAGUAACGGCGAGUGAAGUGGCAAGAGCUCAGAUUUGAAAGCAGAUAUCUUUGAUAUCUGCAUUGUAAUCUGUAGAGGGGUGUUCAGGUAUGGCUUUGGUUCAAGUUCCUUGGAAUAGGAUGCCAUGGAGGGUGAGAGCCCCGUAAUUGGCCCAUGUCUUAUACCUUUGUGAACCUCCUUCAAUGAGUCGAGUUGUUUGGGAAUGCAGCUCUAAAUGGGUGGUAUAUUUCAUCUAAAGCUAAAUAUUGGUAGGAGACCGAUAGUGCACAAGUAGAGUGAUCGAAAGAUGAAAAGAACUUUGAAAAGAGAGUUAAAUAGUACGUGAAAUUGUUGAAAGAGAAGCACUUAUAACCAGAUUUGCCUGCAGCUGAUCAAUCUCCAUUUUUGGGGAUGCACUUGGUUGUUGGCAAGCCAGCAUCAGUUAAGGUGGCAGGAAAAAGGUAUAGAGAAUGUAGCUCUCUUGGGAGUGUUAUAGUUUUGUACUUAAUGCUGUCUACAUUGACUGAGGUAUGCACUCAUGUGAGGAUGCUGGCUUAAUGGAUAUAAGUGACCCGUCUUGAAACACGGACCAAGGAGUCUAACAGCCAUGCAAGUGUUUGGGUAGCAAACCCUUACGCAUAGUGAAAGUAAAUGGAGGUGGGAGCUGUAAAGUGCACCAUCGACCGAUCUUGAUGUUUUCAGAUGGAUUUGAGUAGGAGCAUGACUGUUGGGACCCGAAAGAUGGUGAACUAUGCCUGAACAGGGUGAAGCCAGAGGAAACUCUGGUGGAGGCUCGCAGCGGUUCUGACGUGCAAAUCGAUCGUCAAAUUUGGGUAUAGGGG